rnacentral:rRNA from 1 species
UACGGAGGGUGCAAGCGUUAUCCGGAUUCACUGGGUGUAAAGGGUGCGUAGGCGGGCAGGUAAGUCCGUGGUGAAAUCUCUGAGCUUAACUCAGAAACUGCCAUGGAUACUAUUUGUCUUGAAUAUUGUGGAGGUAAGCGGAAUAUGUCAUGUAGCGGUGAAAUGCUUAGAUAUGACAUAGAACACCAAUUGCGAAGGCAGCUUACUACACAGUUAUUGACGCUGAGGCACGAAAGCGUGGGGAUCAAACAGG